GUGCCAGCAGCCGCGGUAAUACGUAGGGGGCAAGCGUUGUCCGGAAUCAUUGGGCGUAAAGCGCGUGUAGGCGGCUUGGUAAGUCCGCUCUGAAAGCCCGGGGCUCAACCCCGGGAGGCGGGUGGAUACUGUCAAGCUCGAGUCCGGAAGAGGCGAGUGGAAUUCCCGGUGUAGCGGUGAAAUGCGCAGAUAUCGGGAGGAACACCAAUGGCGAAGGCAGCUCGCUGGGACGUGACUGACGCUGAGACGCGAAAGCGUGGGGAGCAAACAGGAUUAGAAACCCUCGUAGUCC
rnacentral:rRNA from 1 species